UACGUAGGGUGCGAGCGUUGUCCGGAAUUAUUGGGCGUAAAGAGCUCGUAGGUGGUUUGUCGCGUUGUUCGUGAAAACUCACAGCUCAACUGUGGGCGUGCGGGCGAUACGGGCAGACUUGAGUACUGCAGGGGAGACUGGAAUUCCUGGUGUAGCGGUGGAAUGCGCAGAUAUCAGGAGGAACACCGGUGGCGAAGGCGGGUCUCUGGGCAACUACUGACGCUGAGGAGCGAAAGCGUGGGGAGCGAACAGG
rnacentral:rRNA from 1 species